AACUGGUGUACCAUAAGCAGCUUCCACAGCUCAGACUGGGAAACGUGGUGGUGCCUAAAAGCUUGGAGACAUCAGGAACUGCAGAGCCCUAAAGAGGGUAUCAUAGCCCUGGUUCGGGGAGCUCCCAGGUCUGGGCUUCCUGAAGGGCUGCAGCUCUUCUCUUUCUCUCUUCUGGUCCCCCUCAAUGUGCUGUUCCUGCCACCACCACCCGUGCCUCCCCACCGCAGUUGGUAUGGUGUCAGCAGCCACUCAGGACAACCCAUCACUACCAUCAAUAUGCCAACCUUCACAAAUAAAUACAGGCCAAUAGACACGCUGAAUUAGAUUUAACUAAGAGAGUGACAGUAAAUACAUAUUGAGCCCACUACUUGCAAGGCAGUGCAUUAAGCGUUCACAUACAUUCCUUCAUUUGACCCUUACAAAACACUAUAAGGUAAGUACGACAUAUAUGGUUCCCAUUUUGUAUAAAUGAACAAAAUAAGCACAAGAGGAUUGUAGAGCUUGAGUUCUUAACCUUUUAUUUUCCAUAAUUAGGGAUCUUUCCCAACAAAUCAGGCAAACCACCCACAAGUAUUGCUGAAAUACUUGGUUUAUAGCCAUGCAUUGAAUUCCUCUGUUUAUACAUAAGAGAUGUACCCCUAGUUACAUUUCCUGAUAUUCUCUGCGCCCUGAAAUCCUUUCAUAUAGUGCCGUUAAUAAAUAUAUUGAGCAUUCUCCAUGGGAUGAUUAGUGUGAAAAAGGUUAUUUUUAGCAAUAACACAUUUUUUCUGGGGGUCAGUUCAUAAAUGCAGCUACGGUCUGCUGCCCUUUAGUGGGAUCCAGUGGAGUCUGGCUGAAGUCACUGGUGUGAUGAACUGAACAGGGUCCCUCUCCUAGUGAUGUCUAAGAUGCAUCCCACAACAUUUACUGCAGGAUCUCCCAUGGGGUGUAAGACCCCUAGACUAGGCUGGGUGCAGUAGCUCAUGCCUGUAAUCCCAGCACUUUGGAAGGCUGAUGAGGGUGGAUGAUCUGAGGUCAGGUGUUCAAGACCAGUCUGGCCAACAUGGUGAAACUAAAAAUACAAAAAUUAGCUGGGCAUGGUGUUGGGCAUCUGUAAUCCCAGCUAUUUGGAGACUGAGGCA
rnacentral:lncRNA from 1 species